UUCUGGCUCAGGAUGAACGCUGGCGGCGUGCCUAAUACAUGCAAGUCGAACGAAACUUCUUUAUCACCGAGUGCUUGCACUCACCGAUGAAGAGUUGAGUGGCGAACGGGUGAGUAACACGUGGGCAACCUGCCCGAAAGAGGGGGAUAACACUUGGAAACAGGUGCUAAUACCGCAUAACCAUGAACACCGCAUGGUGUUCAUGUGAAAGGUGGUUUCGGCUACCGCUUUCGGAUGGGCCCGCGGCGCAUUAGCUAGUUGGUGGGGUAAAGGCUUACCAAGGCAAUGAUGCGUAGCCGAACUGAGAGGUUGAUCGGCCACAUUGGGACUGAGACACGGCCCAAACUCCUACGGGAGGCAGCAGUAGGGAAUCUUCCACAAUGGGUGAAAGCCUGAUGGAGCAACGCCGCGUGGGUGAAGAAGGUCUUCGGAUCGUAAAACCCUGUUGUCAGAGAAGAAGGUGCAUGAGAGUAACUGUUCAUGUUUCGACGGUAUCUGACCAGAAAGCCACGGCUAACUACGUGCCAGCAGCCGCGGUAAUACGUAGGUGGCAAGCGUUGUCCGGAUUUAUUGGGCGUAAAGGGAACGCAGGCGGUCUUUUAAGUCUGAUGUGAAAGCCUUCGGCUUAACCGGAGUAGUGCAUUGGAAACUGGGAGACUUGAGUGCAGAAGAGGAGAGUGGAACUCCAUGUGUAGCGGUGAAAUGCGUAGAUAUAUGGAAGAACACCAGUGGCGAAAGCGGCUCUCUGGUCUGUAACUGACGCUGAGGUUCGAAAGCGUGGGUAGCAAACAGGAUUAGAUACCCUGGUAGUCCACGCCGUAAACGAUGAAUGCUAAGUGUUGGAGGGUUUCCGCCCUUCAGUGCUGCAGUUAACACAAUAAGCAUUCCGCCUGGGGAGUACGACCGCAAGGUUGCAACUCAAAUGAAUUGACGGA
rnacentral:rRNA from 1 species